rnacentral:lncRNA from 10 species
AGCAUAUGAACGUGAGACUGAAGGGAACAUAAGGCAGGCCAUCCUGGAUUUGCACACAUCGUUGUUUGCAAGAAUCUCAAGAGAGUAAAGCCUGGACUUGGAAUUGGCACACCAUCACUUCUGCUGCAUUCUUUCGUUCAGUGUCACUCACCAGGCACAGUCAUAUUCAAAUAGCGAGGAAAGAGAUUUCACCUCUUAAUGGCAAUUUAAAAACUGGACCAGUAACAUCUCCUUGAAGACAUCUGAGCACUGUCACAUGGUGGUGAGGAAUUGUUUACUUUAGAUGGGGGCCUGACUUCCUUUUGACGGCAUUUGCUAGUUUUGAAAGAGGCAAUUUAAACAGUAAAACUGUGAUUAUGAAGAGUACUGAGAGGCCUUCUGGGGUACAGAACAUAUUCUGUUAUUUUGAACUCUGUCAUGAUACAUGAGUGUUUGAUAUAUAAUAAUUCAUUAAUAUAUAUACGUAUGUUUUAUGCAUUUUUCUCUUUGUGCUAUAGUGUAAAAUAAAAUAUAUUUUUAGAAAAUUCUUUGGUAUUUCUUUGAUAAGAACCUCGUCAAGGCAAUUGAGCUCCAUGGGAGAGAGAAUGGGAAAUAAUUAGCUUCUGUGUUAAGCUGAGAAACAGAGAAAAUGUCAAGUGAGCUACCAGCCAAUCUCCCUCCCCCAAACUUUUGGGGUCAUGAAUAUUGAGUUCUUCAAAAGGUAAUUUUGUUUGUUUUUUCUUUUUUGAGAAGGAACAUGAUAGUUUAGCAUCAAUUAUUUAAAAGUAGAGAUAGUGGAACCCUAAAGGGGGAACUUGAAAGAAAGGAAACUAGGGUUGAAUUCAAUUGUACAGUAGGAAAAUUAUAGUUAAUACCAAUUUAUUAUAUAAUUCAAAAUAGCUAGAAGAGAUUUGCAAUGUUGCCAUCACAAAGAAAAGAUAAAUGUUUGAAGUGAUGAAAAUACCAAUUACCCUGAUUUUAUCAUUACACAUUGUAUACAGGUGUUAAAUAUUAUUUGACCCCCAAAAUAUGAACAACUAUUGUAAACCAAUAAAAAAUUUAAAUAAAUACAAGGUAAUUUUGUCUUUUCAUUUGUGCUUUCUAAGAAAGAAGAUGAUAUUUUGCCAUCAGGUACUUAAGAGUAGAGAUGGCGGAACCCUAAAAGGAGAAGUUAGUUAGAAAAAGGAAACUAGGCUGGAUUUCGCAUCCGCAGAGGAACAAUGCCUGAACUCAUCACCAUUCUGUCUCUAUAUCAGAUUGAGCUAGCCCAGAAACUGGCUGCCAAAAUGGGCACUGUGCCCUAUUCCAGCUCCUGGAAUAGACGAUCCAGCCAGCACCAAUCCAGAUGCAGACUGCUUUGGCCAGUUGCCAAUCUGUUACCAUUAUUCCACAAUCUCUGUGUCUGGUCAUCUGGGCCACCUUCUGAGAGGGAGCCUCAUUCAUUCCAAAUUUCAGAACUGCCUUCUGUCAGUUCUCCUAGCUGUUAUGGAUGGAGACUUGAGUUUUAAACUCUGAAGACAGACAAUACAUCCCGAUGGACUCUAAGUUGGGGAUUUCCAGGUGAAAGGAGAUGAAAGAGGACUGGACAUCCCUAACAUUGUAGGGAUGAACUAGAUGCUGUCCAAGUUCUCUUAUUCUUUAUAACUUUAUGAUUCUGGCUUCUUCCUAUCACCUUUCCUUCCUUAUCAUCACUUCUUUUUCUUCUCAACGUUUUUUAACCUUGUGUGAGGUUAAAGUUGG